rnacentral:ncRNA from 1 species
UACGGCAGUUUAUCAGGUAAAGCGAAUGAUUAGAGGUCUUAGGGUUAAAACAACCUUAACCUAUUCUCAAACUUUAAAUUGGUAAGAAGUCCGACUUGCUUAAUUGAAGCCGGACAGUGAAUGCGAGUUCCUAGUGGGCCAUUUUUGGUAAGCAGAACUGGCGAUGCGGGAUGAACCGAACGCGCGGUUAAGGUGCCAAAGUCGACGCUCAUCAGACCCCACAAAAGGUGUUGGUUGCUCUAGACAGCAGGACGGUGGCCAUGGAAGUUGGAAUCCGCUAAGGAGUGUGUAACAACUCACCUGCCGAAGCAACUAGCCCUGAAAAUGGAUGGCGCUCAAGCGUCGCACCUAUACCGUGCCGUCGGAGCAGAUGCGAAGCUCCGACGAGUAGGAGGGCGUGGGGGUCGUGACGCAGCCUCUGGCGCGAGCCUGGGUGAAACGGCCUCCAGUGCAGAUCUUGGUGGUAGUAGCAAAUAUUCAAAUGAGAGCUUUGAAGACCGAAGUGGAGAAAGGUUCCAUGUGAACAGCAGUUGGACAUGGGUUAGUCGAUCCUAAGAGAUAGGGAAAUUCCGUUUGCAAGCGCCCGAUCUUGGGCCGCCUAUCGAAAGGGAAUCGGGUUAAUAUUCCCGAACCGGGACGCGGAUAUUGCCGUUCACGGCAAAUGCGGUAACGCAAACGAACCCGAAGACGCUUGCGGGGGCCCUGGGAAGAGUUCUCUUUUCUUUUUAACGAGCUUCCANCCUGAAAUCAGCUUGCCUGGAGAUAGGGUUUAAUGCUCGGUAAAGCACCACACUUCUUGUGGUGUCCGGUGCGCUCUCGACGGC